rnacentral:misc_RNA from 1 species
CAAACCCUCAAGCUUCUGCUUGGUGUUGGGUCCUCGUCCCUUCACAGGACGUGCCCGAAACUCGUAGGCGGUGGCGCCCAGCUCCUCAGCGUAGUUAAACAUUCCGCUCUGGAUCAGUUGGGAGUUGCCCGCCGGACAACCACACUUUUUUCUUAUG